AAAAUUUUAAGUUAAGUUAAACUAUAAACCUUCAAAGUUUAUUAUAUAAAUUUUAUUUAUAGAUUUUA
rnacentral:tRNA from 1 species